UUACCCACAUUAGGGGUAAUCGCAAGGGUCAACCCAACCGCAGUGCAAUGGAAGGGCCUCGCCCUGGGGGAACCGCCUUUGUG
rnacentral:snRNA from 1 species